GCAGGGGAGGCCCGUCAAACCGUUACCAUUACUGAGUUUCAGUUAUGGUAAGGGUUCCACGGCUCUCGCUCAA
rnacentral:pre_miRNA from 1 species